CGUGGAUGGGAACUGAGAGUAUG
rnacentral:misc_RNA from 1 species